GACGAACCGUGCGAACGUUAUUCGGAAUCACUGGGCUUAAAGCGCGUGUAGGCGGAUGGGUACGUCGGACGUUGAAAGCCCCCGGCUCAACCGGGGAAGUGGCGCCGAAACGACCCGUCUGGAGGAACGUAGGGGGAGCUGGAACUUCCGGUGGAGCGGUGAAAUGCGUUGAGAUCGGAAGGAACGCCCGUGGCGAAAGCGAGCUCCUGGACGUUAUCUGACGCUGAGACGCGAAAGCCAGGGGAGCGAACGGG
rnacentral:rRNA from 1 species